GACGAACGCUGGCGGCGUGCCAAAUACAUGCAAGUUGAGCGCUGAAGGUUGGUACUUGUACCAACUGGAUGAGCAGCGAACGGGUGAGUAACGCGUGGGGAAUCUGCCUUUGAGCGGGGGACAACAUUUGGAAACGAAUGCUAAUACCGCAUAAAAACUUUAAACACAAGUUUUAAGUUUGAAAGAUGCAAUUGCAUCACUCAAAGAUGAUCCCGCGUUGUAUUAGCUAGUUGGUGAGGUAAAGGCUCACCAAGGCGAUGAUACAUAGCCGACCUGAGAGGGUGAUCGGCCACAUUGGGACUGAGACACGGCCCAAACUCCUACGGGAGGCAGCAGUAGGGAAUCUUCGGCAAUGGACGAAAGUCUGACCGAGCAACGCCGCGUGAGUGAAGAAGGUUUUCGGAUCGUAAAACUCUGUUGGUAGAGAAGAACGUUGGUGAGAGUGGAAAGCUCAUCAAGUGACGGUAACUACCCGGAAAGGGACGGCUAACUACGUG
rnacentral:rRNA from 1 species